UGCGGCUGCUUACCAUGCAAGUCGCACGGAUGGGGGCGACCCCAUUAGUGGCGGACGGGUGAGUAACAGGUAGGUGUCUAUCCUUGGGUGGGGGAUGACUGUGGGAAACUACAGCUAAUACCGCAUGAUCCCUGAGAGGCAAAGGCGCAAGUCGCCUGAGGAGGAGCCUGCGUCCGAUUAGCUAGUUAGUGGGGUAAAGGCCUACCAAGGCUGCGAUCGGUAGCUGAGUCUGGGAGGAUGAUCAGCCACACUGGGACUGAGACACGGACCAGACUCCUACGGGAGGCAGCAGUGGGGAAUAUGAGACAAUGGGCGCAAGCCUGAUCCAGCAAUGGCGCGUGGGUGAAGAAGGUCUUCGGAUUGUAAAGCCCUUUCGGCGGGGAAGAUGAUGACGGUACCCGCAGAAGAAGCCCCGGCCAACUUCGUGCCAGCAGCCGCGGUAAU
rnacentral:rRNA from 1 species